rnacentral:rRNA from 1 species
GACGAACGCUGGCGGCGUGCUUAACACAUGCAAGUUGAACGAGAAUUUUUCGAGUGAUUUCUUCGGAAUGAUCAUGAAAACGGAAAGUAGCGAACGGGUGAGUAACACGUGAGAAACCUGCCUUUCACAAAGGGAUAGCCUCGGGAAACCGGGAUUAAUACCUUAUGAAACCAAACACUCGCAUGAGAGAUUGGUUAAAGGUUUAUCGGUGUUAGAUGGUCUCGCGUCUGAUUAGCUAGUUGGUGGGAUAAAAGCCUACCAAGGCAACGAUCAGUAGCCGGAUUGAGAGGUUGAACGGCCACACUGGAACUGAGACACGGUCCAGACUCCUACGGGAGGCAGCAGUGGGGAAUUUUGCACAAUGGAGGAAACUCUGAUGCAGCGACGCCGCGUGAGUGAUGAAGGUCUUCGGAUUGUAAAACUCUGUCCUGAGUGAAGAUAAUGACAGUAACUAAGAAGCAAGCCCUGGCUAAAUACGUG